UGCUAAGUCACGGGCUAGUGAAAAAGCACCUGAUAAAGAGGUAAUGCUGGUCCAGAACACACAGGCAAAUUGCCUGCACCUGCACUCCUUAUGUGACCAGAAGGGGAGAAGGGGUGGACCCAGGGUGGAGCCACCCUAGGCUCAUAUAAGGGCCAGCCACUGAAAGGAGGGUGUUUGUUGGAUUUAGGUUGUGCGCUGCGUAGCUGUGUGGCCUGAGAUCCCUUUCAUUAGUUGGUUUCCUCCUCUGUGGAUCUGAAAAUGACUGUAGAACAAAGAGAAAAGUGGAGGUGUCAGGCUGCAGAAGGUGUUGGUUCCCCUUCUUGCAGCUUAUCUACAAGCAACAGUGAAAAGCUUCCAGCUACCCCAAAAGUCUCUAGACAUCUUCCUGGCAGGUAACAUUCUCACUGCUGAAGUCCUGCCAUCAGCCCUCAUCUGUGACCUGUCUAUGUAUGUACAGACCAAAGGGAGCAGAAGGUGCCAUCAAGACUCACCAGAACAAUAGGAAUGAACCAAAACUUUUCUUGUCAAAUGAACCAGAACUUUUCUCUCCUGACCAGCCUAAGACAAAUCAAGGGGAAUCAGACAGCUUCUCUGGAGUUUGCUAAGGUGGUCUACCGCUCCCACAAAGAGCAGAGGAAACCAAAACUGACUCAAUAAGGAAAGUCAGCAAAAAUAUGGAGUGCAAUAACACUGAGCCUACACAGGAGGGCCAAAAAUGUUACUAUUAAAUACACAUUGGCAUUCAA